AGAGUUUGAUCCUGGCUCAGGACGAACGCUGGCGGCGUGCCUAAUACAUGCAAGUCGAGCGGACGGAUGGGAGCUUGCUCCCUGAAGUCAGCGGCGGACGGGUGAGUAACACGUGGGCAACCUGCCUGUAAGACUGGGAUAACUCCGGGAAACCGGGGCUAAUACCGGAUAACUCUUUUCCUCACAUGAGGGAAAGCUGAAAGAUGGUUUCGGCUAUCACUUACAGAUGGGCCCGCGGCGCAUUAGCUAGUUGGUGAGGUAACGGCUCACCAAGGCCACGAUGCGUAGCCGACCUGAGAGGGUGAUCGGCCACACUGGGACUGAGACACGGCCCAGACUCCUACGGGAGGCAGCAGUAGGGAAUCUUCCGCAAUGGACGAAAGUCUGACGGAGCAACGCCGCGUGAGUGAUGAAGGUUUUCGGAUCGUAAAACUCUGUUGUCAGGGAAGAACAAGUACCGGAGUAACUGCCGGUACCUUGACGGUACCUGACCAGAAAGCCACGGCUAACUACGUGCCAGCAGCCGCGGUAAUACGUAGGUGGCAAGCGUUGUCCGGAAUUAUUGGGCGUAAAGCGCGCGCAGGCGGUUCCUUAAGUCUGAUGUGAAAGCCCCCGGCUCAACCGGGGAGGGUCAUUGGAAACUGGGGAACUUGAGUGCAGAAGAGAAGAGUGGAAUUCCACGUGUAGCGGUGAAAUGCGUAGAGAUGUGGAGGAACACCAGUGGCGAAAGCGGCCUCCU
rnacentral:rRNA from 1 species